rnacentral:tRNA from 1 species
AAAAGGUUAGUUAAAUUAACAUUAGUAUGUCAUGCUGAAAUUAUUGGUUUACCCCAGUACCUUUUG